rnacentral:rRNA from 1 species
GACGAACGCUAGCUACAGGCUUAACACAUGCAAGUCGAGGGACUGGCGCACGGGUGAGUAACACUUAUCCAACCUUCCCCUUACCCGGGGAUAGCCUUUCGAGAUAAAGAUUAAUACUCGUUAUAUAGGAUGGGGAUGCGUUCCUUUAGGUUGUUGGUGAGGUAACGGCAAACCAAGCCUUCGAUGGAUAGGGGUUCGGAGAGGAAGGUCCCCCACAUUGGAACUGAGACACGGUCCAAUCUCCUACGGGAGGCAGCAGUGAGGAAGCUAGGUCAAUGGGCUCUAGCCUGGACCAGCCAAGUAGCGUGAAGGAUGAAGGCUUAUGGGUCGUAAACUUCUUUUAUAUAAGAAUAUGUAUUAAAUGAAUAAGGAUCGGCUAACUCCGUGCCAGCAGCCGCGGUAAUUC